AUCGAACGCUGGCGGCAGGCCUAACACAUGCAAGUCGAACGAGUGGCGGACGGGUGAGUAAUGUCUGGGAAACUGCCUGAUGGAGGGGGAUAACUACUGGAAACGGUAGCUAAUACCGCAUACCAUCAGAUGUGCCCAGAUGGGAUUAGCUAGUUGGUGGGGUAACGGCUCACCAAGGCGACGAUCCCUAGCUGGUCUGAGAGGAUGAACAGCAACACGGGAACGGAGAGACGGUCACGAUUCCUACGUGAGGCAGCAGUGGGGAAUAUUGCACAAUGGGCUCAAGCCUGAUGCAGCCAUGCCGCGUGUAUGAAGAAGGCCUGCGGGUUGUAAAGUACUUUCAGCGGUGAGGCGUUACCCGCAGAAGAAGCACCGGCUAACUCCGUGCCAGCAGCAGCGGUAAUAC
rnacentral:rRNA from 1 species